GACGAACGCUGGCGGCGUGCUUAACACAUGCAAGUCGAACGGAAAUAGUAGAGUAUUUAUAUGAAGCUAUUUUAGUGGCGGACGGGUGAGUAACACGUGGGUAACCUGCCCUAUGGAGGGGGAUAACACAUAGAAAUGUGUGCUAAUACCGCAUAACAUACAGAGGUCGCAUGAUUUUUGUAUCAAAGAUUUAUUGCCAUAGGAUGGACCCGCGGCCCAUUAGCUAGUUGGUGAGGUAACGGCUCACCAAGGCGACGAUGGGUAGCCGAUCUGAGAGGAUGAACGGCCACAUUGGAACUGAGACACGGUCCAGACUCCUACGGGAGGCAGCAGUGGGGAAUAUUGCACAAUGGGGGAAACCCUGAUGCAGCAACGCCGCGUGAGUGACGAAGGCCUUCGGGUUGUAAAACUCUGUCUUAGCUGACGAUAAUGACGGUAAGCUAGGAGGAAGCCACGGCUAACUACGUGCCAGCAGCCGCAGUAACAC
rnacentral:rRNA from 1 species